GGAGGCUGGCGGCGGACGAGUACGUCGCCAACCGGGUCAGGUCCGGAAGGAAGCAGCCCUAACGACAGGUGCACGGGUCGUUCGUCAGUCUCUAUA
rfam:Hyphomicrobium nitrativorans NL23, complete genome.